GAUGAACGCUGGCGGCGUGCCUAAUACAUGCAAGUCGAGCGAACGGACGAGAAGCUUGCUUUUCUGAUGUUAGCGGCGGACGGGUGAGUAACACGUGGAUAACCUACCUAUAAGACUGGGAUAACUUCGGGAAACCGGAGCUAAUACCGGAUGAUAUUUUGAACCGCAUGGUUCAAAAGUGAAAGACGGUCUUGCUGUCACUUAUAGAUGGAUCCGCGCUGCAUUAGCUAGUUGGUAAGGUAACGGCUUACCAAGGCAACGAUGCAUAGCCGACCUGAGAGGGUGAUCGGCCACACUGGAACUGAGACACGGUCCAGACUCCUACGGGAGGCAGCAGUAGGGAAUCUUCCGCAAUGGGCGAAAGCCUGACGGAGCAACGCCGCGUGAGUGAUGAAGGUCUUCGGAUCGUAAAACUCUGUUAUUAGGGAAGAACAUAUGUGUAAGUAACUGUGCACAUCUUGACGGUACCUAAUCAGAAAGCCACGGCUAACUACGUGCCAGCAGCCGCGGUAAUACGUAGGUGGCAAGCGUUAUCCGGAAUUAUUGGGCGUAAAGCGCGCGUAGGCGGUUUUUUAAGUCUGAUGUGAAAGCCCACGGCUCAACCGUGGAGGGUCAUUGGAAACUGGAAAACUUGAGUGCAGAAGAGGAAAGUGGAAUUCCAUGUGUAGCGGUGAAAUGCGCAGAGAUAUGGAGGAACACCAGUGGCGAAGGCGACUUUCUGGUCUGUAACUGACGCUGAUGUGCGAAAGCGUGGGGAUCAAACAGGAUUAGAUACCCUGGUAGUCCGCGCCGUAAACGAUGAGUGCUAAGUGUUAGGGGGUUUCCGCCCCUUAGUGCUGCAGCUAACGCAUUAAGCACUCCGCCUGGGGAGUACGACCGCAAGGUUGAAACUCAAAGGAAUUGACGGGGACCCGCACAAGCGGUGGAGCAUGUGGUUUAAUUCGAAGCAACGCGAAGAACCUUACCAAAUCUUGACAUCCUUUGACAACUCUAGAGAUAGAGCCUUCCCCUUCGGGGGACAAAGUGACAGGUGGUGCAUGGUUGUCGUCAGCUCGUGUCGUGAGAUGUUGGGUUAAGUCCCGCAACGAGCGCAACCCUUAAGCUUAGUUGCCAUCAUUAAGUUGGGCACUCUAAGUUGACUGCCGGUGACAAACCGGAGGAAGGUGGGGAUGACGUCAAAUCAUCAUGCCCCUUAUGAUUUGGGCUACACACGUGCUACAAUGGACAAUACAAAGGGCAGCGAAACCGCGAGGUCAAGCAAAUCCCAUAAAGUUGUUCUCAGUUCGGAUUGUAGUCUGCAACUCGACUACAUGAAGCUGGAAUCGCUAGUAAUCGUAGAUCAGCAUGCUACGGUGAAUACGUUCCCGGGUCU
rnacentral:rRNA from 1 species